rnacentral:rRNA from 1 species
CUCAUUAAAUCAGUUAUAGUUUAUUUGAUGGCCUCUUUUGUCUUUUUUUACCUACUUGGAUAACCGUGGUAAUUCUAGAGCUAAUACAUGCGCAAGGCCCCGAGCGCGGAGGGUAGGGCUUCACGGCUCUACUCUUGCAUGCGUAGAGGGAUGUAUUUAUUAGGUUAAACAACCAGCAUUUUUUCAUUUCUGGUGAUUCAUAGUAACUCCUUCGGAUCGCAUUCAUG